rnacentral:piRNA from 1 species
UGUGAAAUGUUUCAGGAAGCAGGUGCUGC